CAGGAACCUCAGUGGGAAGUGGGUGGGGAGGCGCUGAAAAACGUUGUUGUUUUUGGUUUUGUUGUUGUUGUUGACUGCCCACCCAUGAGCUGGAGUAGGUCGUAGGUGUCUGGGUGAAGACCC
rnacentral:SRP_RNA from 11 species